rnacentral:rRNA from 1 species
GUGCCAGCAGCCGCGGUAAUACGGAGGAUGCGAGCGUUAUCCGGAUUUAUUGGGUUUAAAGGGUGCGUAGGCGGGUGAUUAAGCGUGAGGUGAAAUGCCACGGCUCAACCGUGGAACUGCCUCGCGAACUGGUUGUCUUGAAUGCCCCUGCCGUGGGAGGAAUGUGUGGUGUAGCGGUGAAAUGCAUAGAGAUCACACAGAACACCGAUUGCGAAGGCAUCUCACGAAGGGGUGAUUGACGCUGAGGCACGAAAGCGUGGGGAUCAAACAGGAUUAGAUACCCUGGUAGUCCACGCAGUAAACGAUGAUGACUAACCGCUGGGCAAGUGUGUUCAGUGGCCAAGCGAAAGCGAUAAGUCAUCCACCUGGGGAGUACGACCGCAAGGUUGAAACUCAAAGGAAUUGACGGGGGCCCGCACAAGCGGAGGAACAUGUGGUUUAAUUCGAUGAUACGCGAGGAACCUUACCCGGGCUCGAACGGCAGAUGGACAAACCAGAGAUGGUGCGGCCCUUCGGGGCAUCUGUCGAGGUGCUGCAUGGUUGUCGUCAGCUCGUGCCGUGAGGUGUCGGCUUAAGUGCCAUAACGAGCGCAACCCUUGCCGCUAGUUACCAGCAUGUAGUGAUGGGGACUCUAGCGGGACUGCCACCGCAAGGUGUGAGGAAGGGGGGGAUGACGUCAAAUCAGCACGGCCCUUACGUCCGGGGCGACACACGUGUUACAAUGGGAGUUACAGCGGGGGUCUACCUGGUGACAGGAUGGGAACCUCGAAAAGCUCUCUCAGUCCGGAUCGGAGUCUGCAACCCGACUCCGUGAAGCUGGAUUCGCUAGUAAUCGCGCAUCAGCCAUGGCGCGGUGAAUACGUUCCCGGGCCUUGUACACACCGCCCGU